CAGCCUCUCAUCGAGUCCGUAUCCAGUGGGUAUAAUGCAGCAGUGGUACUAUGCGGCGCCUCCACAGAGCCGAUGACAGCUCUGACUGACUGCAGAAUCAUCAGACAGGUCGAGCCCCGAACCAAAAUACACGCAACAGUGGCAGAUUUGAUGUUUUUGCACUAUUAAUCUUCCUCUUGACUCUAUCUCAGGUCUUGGCAAAUCUUUUUAGUUGUAUAGCGUCACAAGUGAAAGAGGAGUCAUUCAUUUCUGCCUCGUUCCUUCAGGUUUGUCCGAUUGAUGACACAGAUGUGUUAUACACACAUUGCCAUAUAGAAUAAAGUCUAAUGUUUUUUAAUGUCAGUUUUAUCCAGAUGGCGGUGCGGUGGACCUGCUGAGCCCCAAACAGACUCUACAACCUGUAACACAUCCAGUCCUCGGAAGGUGUGUCACAAUGAAGUGUAUUAUUUAUGUCACUAUUAAAACCCAUGUAUACGUUAAAGUGGAUGAAAUGUAAAAAUAAAGUGAAGAAUUAGUCCUUGUUGUUUUGCUCAGUCUUGUAGGAGGUCUUUGUGAGGUGUGUGUAUGCUCAGCAGACGAAGCCUACACUCUGUAUGAAACAUGCAGGGAGGCUCUGAAGACGAAUGCGGGGCCAAUUUCCAGCCGAUGCAGCUCCCUGUUUUCAGUGGCCGUUGAGUGGAAACUCCAUCCAGAGGAGGUGGAGUCAGAUGUCUGCCGCAGCAGACUGCAGCUGUUCAGCCUGGCAGGAGGAGCCAGCAGGACUGACCUCAGAGGUGUCAGCCCACUGGUGAAGGUUUUGGACCAAAUCCCAAAUCCUACCGCCACACUCAGCAUCAACCUUCUCCCUUUCCUUCUUAAUGAGGCCUUAACAGGAAAUAGCAGGACAGUCCUCAUCUACUGCAUCAGCCCUCAA